rnacentral:sRNA from 1 species
GCGGGGCAUGGUGGGCGCAUGCCUGUAAUCCCAGCAGCUUGGGAGGCUGAGACAGGAGGAUCAUGAAUUCAAAGCCAACCUCAGCAAUGGCAAGACAACUAAGCAAAUCAGUGAGACCCUGUCUCUA